rnacentral:rRNA from 1 species
GACGAACGCUGGCGGCGUGCUUAACACAUGCAAGUCGAACGGUGAUGCUCCAGCUUGCUGGAGUGGAUCAGUGGCGAACGGGUGAGUAACACGUGAGCAACCUGCCCCAGACUCUGGAAUAAGCGCUGGAAACGGCGUCUAAUACUGGAUACGAAACUGGCCCGCAUGGGCAUGGUUUGGAAAGUUUUUCGGUUUGGGAUGGGCUCGCGGCCUAUCAGCUUGUUGGUGAGGUAAUGGCUCACCAAGGCGACGACGUGUAGCCGGCCUGAGAGGGCGACCGGCCACACUGGGACUGAGACACGGCCCAGACUCCUACGGGAGGCAGCAGUGGGGAAUAUUGCACAAUGGGCGAAAGCCUGAUGCAGCGACGCCGCGUGAGGGAUGACGGCCUUCGGGUUGUAAACCUCUUUCAGCAGGGAAGAAGCGAAAGUGACGGUACCUGCAGAAGAAGCACCGGCUAACUACGUG